rnacentral:rRNA from 1 species
UACAUAGCUUAAUGAGGGGAACUCAGGGAACUGAAACAUCUAAGUACCUGAAGGAAGAGAAAGAAAUUCGAUUCCGUAAGUAGCGGCGAGCGAACGCGGAUUAGCCCAAACCAAUAAAGUUUUCUUUAUUGGGGUUGCGGACAUAUCAUAACGAAGAGGUAUCGUAAUUGAAGAGGUUUGGAAAGACCCACCACAGAAGGUAAUAGUCCUGUAUGUUAAACGAGAAGACUUUAGAUAUGAUCCAGAGUACCACGGGACACGUGAAACCCUGUGGGAAGCAGGAGGGACCACCCUCCAAGGCUAAAUACUACCUAGUGACCGAUAGCGUAUAGUACCGUGAGGGAAAGGUGAAAAGAACCCCGGGAGGGGAGUGAAAUAGAACCUGAAACCCUGCACUUACAAGCUGUGGAAGCACAUUUCUUGUGUGACCGCGUACUUUUUGUAGAACGGGCCAACGAGUUACGUUAAGUAGCAAGGUUAAGCACUUAAGGUGUGGAGCCGUAGCGAAAGCGAGUUUUAACUGAGCGUUCAGUUACUUGACGUAGACCCGAAACCGGGCGACCUACCCAUGAGCAGGAUGAAGCGAAAGUAAAAUUUCGUGGCGGUCCGAACCCACGAGCGUUGAAAAGCUCGGGGAUGACUUGUGGGUAGCGGUGAAAUUCCAA